UACGUAGGGUGCAAGCGUUGUCCGGAAUUAUUGGGCGUAAAGAGCUUGUAGGCGGUUUGUCGCGUCUGCUGUGAAAAUCCGGGGCUCAACCCCGGACUUGCAGUGGGUACGGGCAGACUAGAGUGUGGUAGGGGAGACUGGAAUUCCUGGUGUAGCGGUGGAAUGCGCAGAUAUCAGGAGGAACACCGGUGGCGAAGGCGGGUCUCUGGGCCGAUACUGACGCUGAGGAGCGAAAGCGUGGGGAGCGAACAGG
rnacentral:rRNA from 1 species